rnacentral:rRNA from 1 species
UACGUAGGUGGUGAGCGUUGUUCGGAUUUACUGGGCGUAAAGGGCGCGUAGGCGGCCACCGCAAGUCAGUUGUGAAAUCUCUGGGCUUAACCCAGAAAGGUCAACUGAUACUGCGGGGCUAGAGUGCAGAAGGGGCAACUGGAAUUCUCGGUGUAGCGGUGAAAUGCGUAGAUAUCGAGAGGAACACCUGCGGCGAAGGCGGGUUGCUGGGCUGACACUGACGCUGAUGUGCGAAAGCUAGGGGAGCGAACGGG